UCACCUAGUUUUCAAAUAUGGUGCUUUCAGAAGCUAAAACAGUCUUGCAAGUCGAAGCUGUAGCAGCCAGUAUAUUUACAACAUUCAAACUAAAUCAUUGUAUUGUAUGAGUUUGAAAAUUUUCAUUUGGAUGUUUAGUAAUUAUUGGUGUGAAAUUUCUUUAAUUCGUGAUGGUGUUUAAGAACUAAGCAUUGAUUUCCUUUAGGUGAUCGAUUAA
rnacentral:lncRNA from 1 species